UACGAAGGGGGCUAGCGUUGCUCGGAAUUACUGGGCGUAAAGGGCGCGUAGGCGGACAGUUUAGUCAGAGGUGAAAGCCCAGAGCUCAACCUUGGAACUGCCUUUGAUACUGGCUGUCUUGAGUUCGGGAGAGGUGAGUGGAAUGCCGAGUGUAGAGGUGAAAUUCGUAGAUAUUCGGCGGAACACCAGUGGCGAAGGCGACUCACUGGCCCGAUACUGACGCUGAGGCGCGAAAGCGUGGGGAGCAAACAGG
rnacentral:rRNA from 1 species